UGUCAACUAUAUAAAGAUGGAGACGCUAUAUAUUUUUUUGAUCUUUAUACCUGAAAAAUAGGUAUAAAGUGAUAGAGUGAUACCCAGUGAUGCUAUGUAAUUUGAUCCAAAUUGUAAAACGUUUUGAAAAUCUCUGCCAAUUUGACAUGUACUCUCUCCCAGCUUUUAAUUGUAUGUCUUUUUUAAUUAGUAAUUAUGUUGCUUGAUUGUCCUACGAGCUUUCUGAGUUGUGCACAAUUCAUGAAUAAACUUGAUUGAGUGAUUUUACCUGAACAGUGCUUGGAAAUAUCUUUUUUUUUACAACACAAUAGAAACUAAAAAUGUUCAGU